CAACCCGCUCGUGUAUUUGGAUCAACCAAAAAAAAACCAAAUAAAAUUUUUACGAUAAUAAUAAUUAAACAAACUUUCAACAACGGAUCUCUUGGCUCUCGCAUCGAUGAAGAACGCAGCGAAAUGCGAUAAGUAGUGUGAAUUGCAGAACUUUGUGAACCAUCGAAUCUUUGAACGCAAAUUGCGCCUUCUUCCGGAAGGCAUGUCUGUUUGAGGGCACCAUUUAACAAAUAAUGUGCGCGUCGUCUGUGUGUAUGUAUUUAUAUAUGCAUAUGUGCACGACGUGUACACGUUGAUGAGCUUUCCGAAAAAACUGUUCGUUUUUUUGGUAGCACAUAAUGAACAGCGUGGGCUUUUUCUUCGAUUCUCGUGUAGUAAAUUUCAAACGACGCUUGGGUUGUGAAAAAGUGCGUGCCGCGCAAUGG
rnacentral:rRNA from 1 species